UAACGUUGUAAGCCUAUUUGCUUUUUCCCGUUACUUCAUAUAAUAUCUUAAUUUUUUUGUAGUUUCUUUUUUUAUAAGUCAAAGUUGGCUCUGCCACACCUAGUUACAAAGGAGUCUGGGAAACGUUUUAUUUUGUUUAUUUUAUUUUAGCGUAGCUUUCCCAAGGAAAGAAAGAGCAACAUCAGCUUGGGGGUGGAGGGACAGAGGGUUAGAGGGAUUGCUUUUCAGCCUUUUGGCUAAGAUCAAGUGUGAAGGUUAGAUGGAAAAUAAGAGGAGGUUGG
rnacentral:lncRNA from 1 species